rnacentral:rRNA from 1 species
UACGAAGGGGGCUAGCGUUGCUCGGAAUCACUGGGCGUAAAGCGCACGUAGGCGGAUCUUUAAGUCAGGGGUGAAAUCCUGGAGCUCAACUCCAGAACUGCCUUUGAUACUGGGGAUCUCGAGUCCGGGAGAGGUGAGUGGAACUGCGAGUGUAGAGGUGAAAUUCGUAGAUAUUUGCAAGAACACCAGUGGCGAAGGCGGCUCACUGGCCCGGUACUGACGCUGGAGGUGACGA